GCCUUCAUGGUGUAGUGGUCAGCACGCUCGACGCGUAACCGAGAGUUCCGUGGUUCGAUUCCUGGCGAAGGCG
rnacentral:tRNA from 1 species